rnacentral:rRNA from 1 species
GACAGCUGGCGGCGCGCUUAACACAUGCAAGUCGAGCGAGAACCUGGGCUUCGGCCCUGGGGACAGCGGCGAACGGGUGAGUAACACGUGGGUAAUCUGCCCUUGACAUCGGGAUAGCCCGGGGAAACCCGGAUUAAUACCGAAUAGCCUCCGGAGCCCUCGGGCGUCGGAGAAAAGGUAGCUUCGGCCUCUGGUCAAGGAUGAGCCCGCGGCGGAUUAGCUUGUUGGCGGGGUAACGGCCCACCAAGGCGACGAUCCGUAGCUGGUCUGAGAGGACGAUCAGCCACACUGGGACUGAGACACGGCCCAGACUCCUACGGGAGGCAGCAGUGGGGAAUCUUGCGCAAAUGCGGGAAACCGUGACGCAGCGACGCCGCGUGGGGGAAGAAGGCCUUCGGGUUGUAAACCUCUUUCAGGAGGGACGAAGCUACUCGGGUUAAUAGCCCAGAGGGUGACGGUACCUCCAGAAGAAGCCCCGGCUAACUACGUGCCAGCAGCCGCGGUAAUACGUAGGGGGCAAGCGUUGUCCGGAUUUAUUGGGCGUAAAGAGCGUGUAGGCGGCUUGGUAGGUCCGCUGUGAAAACUCGAGGCUCAACCUCGAGAUGUCGGCGGAAACCACUUGGCUAGAGUCCGGAAGAGGAGAGUGGAAUUCCCGGUGUAGCGGUGAAAUGCGCAGAUAUCGGGAAGAACACCUAUGGCGAAGGCAGCUCUCUGGGACGGUACUGACGCUGAGACGCGAAAGCGUGGGGGAGCGAACAGGAUUAGAUACCCUGGUAGUCCACGCCGUAAACGAUGG